UACGUAGGGGGCUAGCGUUGUCCGGAAUCAUUGGGCGUAAAGCGCGUGUAGGCGGUUCGGUAAGUCCGCUGUGAAAGUCGGGGGCUCAACCCUCGGAUGCCGGUGGAUACUGUCGGACUAGAGUACGGAAGAGGCGAGUGGAAUUCCUGGUGUAGCGGUGAAAUGCGCAGAUAUCAGGAGGAACACCAAUUGCGAAGGCGGCUCACUGGGGGUUAUCUGACGCUGAGGAACGAAAGCCAGGGGAGCAAACGGG
rnacentral:rRNA from 1 species